GGCGGCGCGCCUAACACAUGCAAGUCGAACGAGCGAGAGAGAGCUUGCUUUCUCGAGCGAGUGGCGAACGGGUGAGUAACGCGUGAGGAACCUGCCUCAAAGAGGGGGACAACAGUUGGAAACGACUGCUAAUACCGCAUAAGCCCACGGGUCGGCAUCGACCAGAGGGAAAAGGAGCAAUCCGCUUUGAGAUGGCCUCGCGUCCGAUUAGCUAGUUGGUGAGGUCACGGCCCACCAAGGCGACGAUCGGUAGCCGGACUGAGAGGUUGAACGGCCACAUUGGGACUGAGACACGGCCCAGACUCCUACGGGAGGCAGCAGUGGGGAAUAUUGCACAAUGGGGGAAACCCUGAUGCAGCGACGCCGCGUGGAGGAAGAAGGUCUUCGGAUUGUAAACUCCUGUUGUUGGGGAAGAUAAUGACGGUACCCAACAAGGAAGUGACGGCUAACUACGUGCCAGCAGCCGCGGUAAAACGUAGGUCACAAGCGUUGUCCGGAAUUACUGGGUGUAAAGGGAGCGCAGGCGGGAAGACAAGUUGGAAGUGAAAUCUAUGGGCUCAACCCAUAAACUGCUUUCAAAACUGUUUUUCUUGAGUAGUGCAGAGGUAGGCGGAAUUCCCGGUGUAGCGGUGGAAUGCGUAGAUAUCGGGAGGAACACCAGUGGCGAAGGCGGCCUACUGGGCACCAACUGACGCUGAGGCUCGAAAGUGUGGGUAGCAAACAGGAUUACAUACCCUGGUAGUCCACACCGUAAACGAUGAUUACUAGGUGUUGGAGGAUUGACCCCUUCAGUGCCGCAGUUAACACAAUAAGUAAUCCACCUGGGGAGUACGACCGCAAGGUUGAAACUCAAAGGAAUUGACGGGGGCCCGCACAAGCAGUGGAGUAUGUGGUUUAAUUCGACGCAACGCGAAGAACCUUACCAAGUCUUGACAUCCCUUGACAGACAUAGAAAUAUGUAAUCUCUUCGGAGCAAGGAGACAGGUGGUGCAUGGUUGUCGUCAGCUCGUGUCGUGAGAUGUUGGGUUAAGUCCCGCAACGAGCGCAACCCUUAUGGUCAGUUACUACGCAAGAGGACUCUGGCCAGACUGCCGUUGACAAAACGGAGGAAGGUGGGGAUGACGUCAAAUCAUCAUGCCCUUUAUGACUUGGGCUACACACGUACUACAAUGGCGUUAAACAAAGAGAAGCAAGACCGCGAGGUGGAGCAAAACUCAGAAACAACGUCCCAGUUCGGACUGCAGGCUGCAACUCGCCUGCACGAAGUCGGAAUUGCUAGUAAUCGUGGAUCAGCAUGCCACGGUGAAUACGUUCCCGGGCCUUGCACU
rnacentral:rRNA from 1 species